rnacentral:rRNA from 1 species
ACUCAAAGGAAUAGACGGGGGCUCACACAAGCGGUGGAGCAUGUGGCUUAAUUCGAGGCUACGCGCAAAACCUUAUCCCGGGCUUGACAUGCACGGAUUAGCCGGCGGAAACGCCGGCGAGGCCGCAAGGUACAACGUGCACAGGUGCUGCAUGGCUGUCGUCAGCUCGUGCCGUGAGGUGUUGGGUUAAGUCCCGUAACGAGCGAAACCCCUGUGUCUAGUUGCCAGCGGGUCAUGCCGGGAACUCUAGACAGACCGCCGGCGUCAAGCCGGAGGAAGGCGGGGAUGACGUCAAGUCCUCAUGGCCCUUAUGCCCGGGGCUGCACACGUGCUACAAUGGGGCGGACAGAGCGUUGCCACGUCGCAAGGCGGAGCUAAUCGCCCAAACCGUCCCCCAGUUCGGAUUGCGGGCUGCAACCCGCCCGCAUGAAGCCGGAAUCGCUAGUAAUCGCGGAUCAGCACUGCCGCGGUGAAUGGGUUCCUGAGCCUUGUACACACCGCCCGU